GUUGGUGAUCGUAUUCCAGAGAAGUUGACAUCUUGGAUCAAGGGGGUUUGUUGCAUAGGACUACUUGAGCCCUUGUUGGGAUGUAAUUUUUCGGUUAUUUAUCUUCUUUUUUUCUCCCAUUGUAUUAAUUUGGCCUGAUUCUACCUAUGGGUAGAUGAAGCCGGAUAGUUUCUAUCCUUUAUCUAAAAAAACUAGGCUUAAAAGAUACGUUUCGUAAAUUUCGACCAAACUGUACAAUUAGUUUUUAUUUUUAUUUAUAUUAAAUACUCCAUGCAUGUAUCGAAAGAUUCUAUGUGACGAAGAAUCUUGAAAAGUUUUUAGGUGGAAGUAAACAAGGCCCUACGGUGCGUGCUAGACUGCUAGUCGCAAGGUGGUGUGGUACUGCUCGAUCCAAAAAAAUUAUUCUACUUAACCGAUGGUUAAUGGCCGUGUUUAGUUUCUGAAUUAUUUUCACGACACUGUAGUAUUUUCGUUUGUUUGUGGUAAUUAUUGUUCAACCAUGGACUAACUAGGCUUAAAAGAUUCGUCUCGUAAAUUUCGACCAAAAUGUGUAAUUAAUUUUUAUUUUUGUUUAUAUUUAAUACUUUAUGUAUGUGUCUAAAGAUUCGAUUUAACGAAAAAUUUUUGAAAAAUUUUAGGUUUUUGGAUAGAGUAAACAAGGCCUAAGCUUCUUAUUACUUGCUGCAUGUAUAAUAUGACUGAUGACAUACAGUAGUAUAUAUAAAAGUGAUACUACUCAGGAGUAUACUGCGGUUGUGCUGUAAUAAUAAUAUACAUACCAUACUAUACAGCGUUGCGUGGCUUUAAUACAGAUCCAGCCUUUAUGGCCGAGCCUCUGCUCUGGU
rnacentral:lncRNA from 1 species